AGAGGGAAAACAAUUAAGGGUUCAUCUCUGAAACAUGAAUAACAAAUAUAUGUGCAUUCAUUACAGUCUCACUCUUUUUUUAUUCUUUUGUUUUUAAAAGAUCAGAACAAGGGUAGAGAUUUUCAGGCCUUUGAAAACAUUUCACAGAUUGCUUGGGCAGCCAGGAUGCCCUUUUAAACUCUCCAUCUGACUGACUGUCGGCAUCCUUUCCUACAGAGCACAGGACUCUGCCGCAGUGAUCCCUUCAUUCAUCAU
rnacentral:lncRNA from 1 species